GGGGAUAAGCGGAAGAAAUUCCGUCUAAUACCGCGUAAUAACUCCGAGAGGCAUCUCCUGGGGUUUAAAGGGUAACACCGGCUACGGAUGGCCAUGCGGCGCAUUAGCUAGUUGGCGGGGUAACGGCCCACCAAGGCGACGAUGCGUAGGGGUUCUGAGAGGAAGGUCCCCCACACUGGUACUGAGACACGGACCAGACUCCUACGGGAGGCAGCAGUGAGGAAUAUUGGUCAAUGGGCGCGAGCCUGAACCAGCCAAGUCGCGUGAGGGAAGACGGUCCUAUGGAUUGUAAACCUCUUUUGUCGGGGAGCAAAAGACGCCACGCGUGGCGUUCCGAGAGUACCCGAAGAAAAAGCAUCGGCUAACUCCGUGCCAGCAGCCGCGGUAAUACGGAGGAUGCGAGCGUUAUCCGGAUUUAUUGGGUUUAAAGGGUGCGCAGGCGGAAGAUCAAGUCAGCGGUAAAAUUGAGAGGCUCAACCUCUUCGAGCCGUUGAAACUGGUUUUCUUGAGUGAGCGAGAAGUAUGCGGAAUGCGUGGUGUAGCGGUGAAAUGCAUAGAUAUCACGCAGAACUCCGAUUGCGAAGGCAGCAUACCGGCGCUCAACUGACGCUCAUGCACGAAAGUGUGGAUAUCGAACAGGAUUAGAUACCCUGGUAGUCCACACAGUAAACGAUGAA
rnacentral:rRNA from 1 species